rnacentral:rRNA from 1 species
GACGAACGCUGGCGGCGUGCCUAACACAUGCAAGUCGAACGGGGCCCGCAAAGGGUUCAGUGGCGAACGGGUGCGUAACACGUGAAGAAUUUGUCCAUCGGCGGGGGAUAGCCGGCCCAACGGCCGGGUAAUACCGCGUACGACCCUCGGGGGCAUCCCCUGAAGGUGAAAGCCGCAAGGCACCGAAUGGAGAAACUUCGCGGCCUAUCAGCUAGUUGGUGAGGUCAUGGCUCACCAAGGCGACGACGGGUAGCUGGUCCGAGAGGAUGACCAGCCACAUUGGGACUGAGACACGGCCCAGACUCCUACGGGAGGCAGC